CGCACACGGCAGCGACAAGAGUCCGAAAUCGACGGAGUCCCGUUUACGAACGAUUAAAAUCGUAAUAGACUCGCCGUGUUCCAAAAUUCUGAAAACCGGGUUCCAUAAAUUGUUCCGAAUAGGUCGCAAAGUAUUGGCGAAGGUUCGAAGUCGAUUGGACAUGGGUGGGGGGGGGGAAACUUCAUUCACGUCACUGUAGGUACAACGUAAAAACGCAAUUCGCG